rnacentral:rRNA from 1 species
AGGGGGGAUAACAUCCGGAAACGGGUGCUAAUACCGCAUAGUUUUCUUGAUCGCAUGAUUGAGAAGGAAAGACGGCCUUUGUGCUGUCGCUUAUGGAUGGACCCGCGGCGGUAUUAGUUAGUUGGUGAGGUAAUGGCUCACCAAGACGAUGAUACGUAGCCGACCUGAGAGGGUGAUCGGCCACAUUGGGACUGAGACACGGCCCAAACUCCUACGGGAGGCAGCAGUAGGGAAUCUUCCGCAAUGGACGAAAGUCUGACGGAGCAACGCCGCGUGAGUGAAAAGAAGGUUUUCGGAUCGUAAAACUCUGUUGUCAGAGAAGAACAAGUUGGAGAGUAACUGCUCCAGCCUUGACGGUAUCUGACCAGAAAGCCACGGCUAACUACGUGCCAGCCGCCGC